rnacentral:rRNA from 1 species
AGAGUUUGAUCCUGGCUCAGGACGAACGCUGGCGGCGCGCCUAACACAUGCAAGUCGAACGAGCGAGAGAGAGCUUGCUUUCUCGAGCGAGUGGCGAACGGGUGAGUAACGCGUGAGGAACCUGCCUCAAAGAGGGGGACAACAGUUGGAAACGACUGCUAAUACCGCAUAAGCCCACGGCUCGGCAUCGAGCAGAGGGAAAAGGAGCAAUCCGCUUUGAGAUGGCCUCGCGUCCGAUUAGCUAGUUGGUGAGGUAACGGCCCACCAAGGCGACGAUCGGUAGCCGGACUGAGAGGUUGAACGGCCACAUUGGGACUGAGACACGGCCCAGACUCCUACGGGAGGCAGCAGUGGGGAAUAUUGCACAAUGGGGGAAACCCUGAUGCAGCGACGCCGCGUGGAGGAAGAAGGUCUUCGGAUUGUAAACUCCUGUUGUUGAGGAAGAUAAUGACGGUACUCAACAAGGAAGUGACGGCUAACUACGUGCCAGCAGCCGCGGUAAAACGUAGGUCACAAGCGUUGUCCGGAAUUACUGGGUGUAAAGGGAGCGCAGGCGGGAAGACAAGUUGGAAGUGAAAUCCAUGGGCUCAACCCAUGAACUGCUUUCAAAACUGUUUUUCUUGAGUAGUGCAGAGGUAGGCGGAAUUCCCGGUGUAGCGGUGGAAUGCGUAGAUAUCGGGAGGAACACCAGUGGCGAAGGCGGCCUACUGGGCACCAACUGACGCUGAGGCUCGAAAGUGUGGGUAGCAAACAGGAUUAGAUACCCUGGUAGUCCACACCGUAAACGAUGAUUACUAGGUGUUGGAGGAUUGACCCCUUCAGUGCCGCAGUUAACACAAUAAGUAAUCCACCUGGGGAGUACGACCGCAAGGUUGAAACUCAAAGGAAUUGACGGGGGCCCGCACAAGCAGUGGAGUAUGUGGUUUAAUUCGACGCAACGCGAAGAACCUUACCAAGUCUUGACAUCCCUUGACGAACAUAGAAAUAUGUUUUCUCUUCGGAGCAAGGAGACAGGUGGUGCAUGGUUGUCGUCAGCUCGUGUCGUGAGAUGUUGGGUUAAGUC